UGAUACGUAGGGGUCUAGCGUUGUCCGGAAUUAUUGGGCGUAAAGAGCUCGUAGGCGGUUCGGCAAGUCGGAUGUGAAAUCUCCACGCUUAACGUGGAGGGGCCAUUCGAAACUGCCGUGACUCGAGUCCGGUAGGGGAGUUCGGAAUUCCCGGUGUAGCGGUGAAAUGCGCAGAUAUCGGGAGGAACACCAGUGGCGAAGGCGGAACUCUGGGCCGGAACUGACGCUGAGGAGCGAAAGCGUGGGGAGCGAACAGGAUUAGAUACCCUGGUAGUCCACGCCGUAAACGUUGGGCACUAGGUGUGGGGUUCUAUCGACGGAUUCCGUGCCGUAGCUAACGCAUUAAGUGCCCCGCCUGGGGAGUACGGCCGCAAGGCUA
rnacentral:rRNA from 1 species